AGAGGUGGCGAGCGUUGUUCGGAAUUAUUGGGCGUAAAGAGCACGUAGGUGGGCUUGCAAGUCAGAUGUGAAAGCCUUCUGUUCAACGGAAGAAUUGCAUCUGAAACUGCUAAUCUUGAGUAUAGGAGGGGUAGAAUGGAACUUCUGGUGGAGCGGUGAAAUGCGUAGAUAUCAGAAGGAACGCCGGCGGCGAAAGCGAUUCUCUGGCCUAUUACUGACACUCAGUGUGCGAAAGCUAGGGGAGCAAACGGGAUUAGAUACCCGGUAGUCCUAGCUGUAAACGAUGGGCACUAAGUAGAGGGAAUUACCGAUGUUCUCUCUGCCGUAGCUAACGCAUUAAGUGCCCCCGCCUGGGGAGUACGGCCGCAAGGCUA
rnacentral:rRNA from 1 species